AAUGAACGCUGGCGGCGCGCCUAAUACAUGCAAGUCGAGCGAGAAGACGUAGCAAUACGUUUGUAAAGCGGCGAACGGGUGAGGAAUACAUGGGUAACCUACCCUCGAGUGGGGAAUAACUAGCCGAAAGGUUAGCUAAUACCGCGUACGCUUCUUGGACCUCGGUUCAGGGAGGAAAGCGAUGCCGAGGGUAUCGCGCUCUUGGAUGGGCUCAUGUCCUAUCAGCUUGUUGGNGAGGUAACGGCUCACCAAGGCUUCGACGGGUAGCUGGUCUGAGAGGACGAUCAGCCACACUGGCACUGCGACACGGGCCAGACUCCUACGGGAGGCAGCAGUAAGGAAUAUUGCGCAAUGGGCGAAAAGCCUGACGCAGCGACGCCGCGUGGGGGAUGAAGGUCUUCGGAUUGUAAACCCCUUUCGGGAGGGAAGAUGGAAUGGGGUAACCCAUUCGGACGGUACCUCCAGAAGCAGCCACGGCUAACUUCGUGCC
rnacentral:rRNA from 1 species